UGGUCUCGGGGGGGCCCUGUCCGCCUUCCGCGUGUGCGAUGAAGGCCUUCGGGUUGUAAAGCACUUUUGGCAGGAAAGAAAUCGCACAAAUUAAUACUUUGUGUGGAUGACGGUACCUGCAGAAUAAGCACCGGCUAACUACGUGCCAGCAGCCGCGGUAAUACGUAGGGUGCAAGCGUUAAUCGGAAUUACUGGGCGUAAAGCGUGCGCAGGCGGUUCGGAAAGAAAGGUGUGAAAUCCCAGGGCUUAACCUUGGAACUGCACUUUUAACUCCCGAGCUAGAGUAUGUCAGAGGGGGGUGGAAUUCCGCGUGUAGCAGUAGGGAUUUGGGGAUAUGCGGGAGGAACACCGAAAGCAAAAGCAGCCCCCUGGGAUGAUCCUGACGCUCAUGCACCAAA
rnacentral:rRNA from 1 species